UUUGAAGCCUCCUUUUAGGAAGAAAUUGGUAGAUGCAUUUUUCAUGCAUUUACAUUGCAUGUUCACACUUAAUAUGAUGUCAUGCAUGACAUUAUUAAGGCCAUUUCUCUUCUAUAAAUAGCAAGGGUUUUGUUCAUUUGAAAUUAUCUCUCACUUGCCUUCUUAUCUCCUAAGGCAUUUGAAUCUUCUUUCUCCCUUGUAGUAUUUCACUUGUAUUUUUUGGAGUGAAAUAAAGUUUGAGUUGAUUGUGUCCGAGAACUAGGCAAAAAUCAAUUUUUGCCGAACCUCGUUAAUUUCUGGUAUUUCUGGUGUUCUUUUUAUUAUUGUCUCAUUUACUAUUUAUUAGCUACCUUUAGAUAUAUUAGUUGUGAUUUAAUCACUCUCUAUAUAUUCGACUUCCGCAACACAGUGAAGAGAGCAUAUCAAAGAGCGUUACUCUAUAUACAAAGCUCCAACAAGAGGGUGCUGUGGCUCACCAGAAAUACAUUGCGGAAAAAGUUUUUGAUAUUCUUCAGGAAGCUUGGGAUCAUUUCAACUCGCUUGGUCCUAUGUAACAUUCACAUAUGCAAUGUGGUAUUUGAGGAGGCACGGUUACGAAAAAAUCUCUUCAUUUGUGUACAUACCAGGCAAAUAUGCCAUACAUAUCCACUCCAUACAACAAUAACAAAUCUGGGUUUUCUACACUUAUCAAAGUUAUACUCAUUUUUUCAUUGCACAGUUAUGAGUUAGUGGAAGUUCAUAGCAGCAAGCUGGCCUUAUUAUGGACUUAAAUAGGAGAGGAAACAGUUGCUAGUUCAGGGACUGUAAAGUUACUUUGGCUUAUAAGUCAGUUUCUGAAACAUCAACAUAACUCUGAUUCCUCACUCAACUUCUUUAUUAGUGAAUUUAACUGCGAACCAGAAGUUUUUGGUACAUAUAUAGAGAUACUCAUAGUCAUGAGUUUAACUUUUA